rnacentral:rRNA from 1 species
AUUGAACGCUGGCGGCAUGCUUUACACAUGCAAGUCGAACGGCAGCACUGGGUCAUCCCUGUUGGCGAGUGGCUAACAGGUGAGUAAUACAUCGGAACGUGCCCGGUCGUGGGGGAUAACUUAGCGAAAGUUACCCUAAUACCGCAUACGAUCUGACGAUCAACUCGGGGGUCCUUCGUGCCUCGCGCUUUCGUAGCUUCCGAUGUCCGAUUAGCUAGUUGGUGGGGUAAUGGCCUACCAAGCCGACGAACUGUAGCUGGAUUGACAGGACGACAGGCCACACUGGGACGGAGACACGGACAAGACUACUACGGGAGGCAGCAGUGGGGAAUGGUGGACAAUGGGCGCAAGCAUGAUACAGCCAUUCCGCGUGCAGGACGAAGGCCUUCGGGUUGUAAACUGCGUUUGUACGGAACGAAAAGGCUCUGGCUAAUAACUGGGGAUCAUGACGGUACCGGAAGAAUAAGCACCGGCUAACUACGUG